GGGGGCAUAGCUCAACGGUUAGAGCAGGCGGCUCAUAACCGCUUGGUUGUCGGUUCGAAUCCGGCUGCCCCUA
rnacentral:tRNA from 1 species